UGCCCCUUAGGGGGCAGGGGGCUUGUGAUUUCUGAGGGAGCCCUGGCUCCUUCCAGCUCGAGUUAUCCUAUGUCAAGAUGGAGAACCAGCAGUCCAGACUCAGUGCCCUGUCAGGCAGAAUUUGCUUGGCAAUAACAAAGACCCAUAGCCUUUCUGAUGUCACCCAGAACCUCGGACUCCGUAUCCACGGGGGUUGAUUAACCACCUCACUGCCACCCUGAAACCGGGGUCCUUUAUCCUGGCAGGCAAGUCCCUUUUGUGUUUCCUGAGACCUGGCUUCAGAGACCCCCCCCCCCUUCCCCUCUAGGCAGAGGGCCAUGUCGCCUGCUGUGUGGUGCUGAGACUGUGCUGCAAUGCAGCAGGAGCUGCGGCGGGCGAGCGGCUGAGGGUCGGAGCUGUCCGGUGUCUGCUUCCCAGAGUGAGGAAUGAAAGAUGAAGGAGAGGGCUUGCAGGCAGUGCGAAGUGGCCAGGCGCCCAGGAAACCCAAGGGAAGAGUGAAGAUGAGCCUGUGACUUUUGCAGGAGGGCCAGAAAAGUAUGGGCUCUGGGAACGGUGGCGAGUCAUAAGGGGUUAGUGGACCAGCAGGUCUUGGGGUCUCAAGGUGAGUCAGUUUGCCGUCCCGUGCCUGAGCGCAAAGUGAUGGGUCUGAGAGCAGCCGAGGCGGCUGGCUGCAAACAGCUUUAGGUGGAAAAGCAUCAAUUCUUACCUCUCCAGCAAGGCUUAAUUAAAAACGAAAAAAACAAAACAAAACAAAACGAAAACUAGGCAGUGUGCCUGAGCUGGUUACUCGAUGUGUGUGACAGGUGACAGUGCUGUUCUCUUAACUAAAUUGGCACAGUGUCCCAGCAGGAAGACUUACACAGGCUGCUGGUUCUGCGUUAAGAUGAGAUGCUGCGGGGGUCUUUACAUCUAGGGGGAGGGUCUAGCGGUGCUGGAGGGCACAUCAGGGAGUAGAUAGUGUGCAUCUGGUGGGUGUCUGUUUCUUGGGUGCCCCCCCCCCCCAGCACUUUUACCUUCUGUCCAUGCAAUUUGCAGGGAGUGUUUCUUCAGUCCCCGUGCUGUUCUGAUCCUUGGAAACCAGCCUCAGGACACUGUGCUUCAUUUAACUUGGACCCAAAGCCCCCUCUGAGCUGUUAAACGUUUCCCUGAACCCCGUUGACACCUCUGUACUUCAUUUUCACUUGUUGAUUAAAAAGAAAGUCAGACUUUAUUAUGUUUUCUCCCCCAAGACACCACAAACGGAGAAAAGCAAUGUGUUCUUAAACAGCACAGUUUUAACCUGUAUUUCAUCAUCGAAAUGUAGUGCCCAUCCAAUUUAGCCAUCCCCCUCCUCCAUCUGAACCCUGGACACCCCCUCCCCUCCCACUAUCCAAGCUCUCAGAUUUUUUUGGACCAUUUUGAAGCUGAUUCUAGAGAUCAUGUUGGCUCUUCUGUGACUCUUAGAAUAUUUAUCCUUAAGCAAAGCUGUUUUCCUUUAUAAAAACAUAAAUAUAUCCAUUGCAGCAAUUUGUAAAAUAAAAAUACAUGUGAUGCCAUUACCUACCACAAUUAAAAAAUUAACAGGUUUUCCUUUUUGCCAUCUAACCUGUGUGCAGUGGCCAAAUCUUCCUGAUGAACUCAUAAUUUUUUUUUAUGAUUGAUCUUAUUCAGAUCUCUGCUCCAAAGUGCUUCCUGCACUUUCAAGGGGACUGUGGGGUUCUCAAAGGUAAGUACAGCCUGAAAGGCAGAGCUUUACACCAAAUACAACCUCAGUGAGCCUCAUUUUUCCCCCUAAAAAUGGAGCCAAUUCUGAGAGCCUCUCAGGACCAGCAGGCAAAUUAGAGACAGGUACACAUGCAUCCCCCAGCCCCAUUUCAAACGGAAAAUAGGCACGGCAGCCAACAGCUGUUACUUGAAUUAUCUGUUUUUCCCGGAAACCUCUAAAGGAGUUGGACUGAAUAGACAAGCGAGAGCUGGCCAUCGUCCACAAAACAAAAGGCGCCUGGCAAGCCAGGGGCCCUGAGUGAUUUAGCCACCUCUCAACGAGGGUCGCCUGCAGUCCCGGGGGGCUAGGUCCGGAACCCCCACAGGGCGCUGGUCCACUAGGUGGCACUCUCUGCUGUGUGUCCAGGACCAGGACAGACCACUCCCCAAGAUGCUCAGGCCACAGCCAAGACAUCCCGUCCCAGGUAAUUCUAAACAGCAUCUUAACACAUUGUGCAAAGCACAGCGGCUUUUCUCCCCGCAUCCCUCCCAGCCCGGCAGCAGAAACGCAGACAGCGAACAUUUCACAAUGAUUUGCUGAGACUGAAACACUAGAAUGCCCACCCCCCUUUUAGUUCCCAGCCCGGCUACAUCUGAUUGCUUGUUAUUUUACAGACAAGGGGAUGAGAAGGAGUUAGCAUUUUCUCAAGAUCGGCUAGUAAGCAGAACCCGGGGCUGCCGCCCAGGGCUGAUCGUCCUCACAGGAUUUCCCCUUGUUCUCAGCAUCUAGACCCAAAAGGCCUGGGAGGGAGGAUGUCUGCUGCCCUGCAGUCUCCACACCCGAGGAAUGUCUGUGUGUGUGCACAGCAGGCUGCUCUGCUGCACCGUGCUCGUAGUCCCUCACCCUGUUGGACCCAGGAAGGUGCUGCUGCUCCUCCCAGUCUGCAAAUCCUACGCGUCCGGGGCCUAAGACAGAGAGACCAGGUCACGUCUCUGCAGUUACACAGCUCAACAGAGGCCCUAAUGUGAAGGGAGUCUAGGCUGCUCGUGGAGACCUUGGCAGUGACUGUUGUGGGCAGUGAGCCAUGCAUGGGACGGCAAGAUUCAGUGCCGUCUUCCUGUCUGAGACUGAGGCUCUUUGGGCCAGGAAUAGCAGGACUCAGUUUGUGCUUGAUUUCAUCCUGUGGAGGCUUCCAUACCAACUGACUCAGCCUGACACACCAAAGGUCUUGGCUUUCACCUGUGUGGGUAAGGGAAGAAGAGAUUUAUGACCCCUGAUUUAAUUAUUUAAUAUGGAACCUUUGUCCCGAGUAAGGAGCAUAGAUGAGGAUGAAGAAUGAAGACUGUAGCAGACUGAAUUACUCUCUUAGAUGAGGAGUUUGCUACUGCCAUUGUCGAACCCCCGGUGGCAGAUUUCCUUAAACAUCGGGCCUUGCCUGCAAGCUCUACAGACAUGCUCAGUAUUUACAUGACAUCCCAAGACAUGAAGUCCAUGAUGCUGUAUCCCCAGGCUUAACAAGUAUAGAUACUAAUUUGCUUUAUCUAUCUGUUUGGAUCAUGGAGUCCAUUGCUAGCCUAGGGUCUUCAGCACGCAGUAGGUUUUAAUGGGCUCCCAGUUGCUGAUGUAAUCAAUAUCCAGUUGUAUAAGUUCUAAGGUUUUUCUACUGUGAACAUGGCACACCAAGACUGAGAACCAGUGGCUCAAGUCUGCUUUAAACACGGGUCCAUGAUCACACACUCAGUACCUACCCUCUGUGCUCACAAGUCCUGUGUGAGUAAUAUUCCAAGUUAUUCUGUCUUGUUUUGGUCAACAGUAUGCUCUAUGUUAUUAUAGAGUAUACAGUGUAUUGAGACAAGAAUGCCAGUCAUUCAGUCAGACAAAGUGCAGCCAUUCUUUGUCAUUUUAAUUGUUGAUGAAUAGAUGUGUUGAUCAUCAAACAUGCAUGUAUUAUUGGAUAAGAAGAUAGCAUGGGCCAAUGAUGACGAGGUUUCGGGAUUAUAAGUCACAGACGAUGACUACGUCAGUAGAGGUCUGAGGUCCACAGCAUAAGAUGCCUCAUGUGACCCUCUCAUGCAGGGGUUGCAAGUCUGGCAUGUGCAGCACAUAUUAGACAUUAGACAUGCACUCUCAUCAUUUCAUAGUGUAUCACCGAAUCAAGACAUAAUUCAACAUCAAUAAUUUUUAAGGCAUUGAUCAAUCCUGAACAUAAAUAUUUGGCCAUCAAUGAUAUUUAUACACAUUGAAAAUCUAUUCAGAAAGGUUUAUAUAACCUUUAUCCAAGGUGAUUUAUAUAGUAAAAUUCAUGGCUUAUGUUUCUGUGAUGUUCAAGGCCUUAAUUUUUAAAAUUAUCAAUUUUUAAUUUAGUUUUUUUACUUGAUUGCAUGACAAUUUGACUCUUAAACAAGGAAAGGAGAAAUGUAAAACUCAAUGGACAAAUAUCAAUCUUUUCAUUAUCUUUGCUGUUCUGUACUUCCUGGAUGGGUUCUGACACAUUCUUCCCUGCCUGGGAGGUCCUUCGUUGACCCAUCAUCAUGAGGACGGAACUCAGCAACUGAUAAUGCAUUCUGCCACCAAGAUGAUUCUCACACUCGCGUUUAAUCAUGAGCCCGAUAAUAAGCUGCUUCAGAUUGUAUAGACACAGUAAUGUAUACCUCCAAGCUUCGUUAUUCUUGAGGUUUUGGUUUCCCUGUAUGUGUCUGCAGAAUUGACACAGUAAUGAAUAUCCUGCAAGAUGACUUCAUACAGUCUCCCUUGAAAAUAAACCUCGUGAUCUAGCCUUUGUGUUCGUGGAUAGACAUUGUGAUGGAUUCCCCCCAAGUUCAUUUAGACUCCAGAAUGGAUACCCCCAAGCUGAUGUAUACACACUCUUCCUUGCUUACGAGAUUCUUGCUCUGUUCGUUGUAGUCAUAAGAUAGACAUAGUUGUGUAUUCAGUGUUCGCACCUUGAUUGUGCAUUCUUUGAAAGACUACGGACACUACUAACUUGUCCAAGUGGAUGGGUGCCCUCAGUUUGAUUCGGACACUCUGCCCUACUGCUGUGCUUUCUUGUCAGUACUUCGUGCUUGGGAUGUAUACGCAGUAAUAGAUUUUCCCCAGCAGAUUUUUCACAAUCUGUAUUCCUUGGAGUAGUAUAAAAGCAGAUGCCUUCCUUACUGGCCACCAGGUUCAUGGGCCCUAGUUUGUAUCAGGAGCAGAUUGAUCCAUAAAGGUCAACUUCAGAUGAAUGGGUGGAUCCUACCUCAUCCUAAGCUCCAGGGUUGAUUGUGUUGUGAAGGUCACAGCUACAACCGGCUCAGGGAACCCAAUGGAUGAGGAGGUGGAGAGAGUGUAAAAGCCGAUUGGAAUCGAAGACCCUGAGGAAACAAGGCCUUAUAGACACAAGAGGACCGAUGAACUCAUAGAGACUGAGGCAGCAUGCUCAGGACUGCACAGGUCUAAGCCUCAUGGGCUCUCAGCACUGAGAUGGGAAUUCUAUACUGGACACAAUUCUAUACUGAUAACCCAGAAGCUCUCUCCAGUUGAUAAACUCUGUCAAAGGAAAAACUAGUUUUCUCCAAUGGAGUGUCACUGGACAUAUAAACCAACUUUUAGAGCAGUCUCCAUGGUCCAGACGGCCAACACAGGAUGAACUCAAUGGCAUCUUGGGAGGGUUUUGUGACUCACAAUGCUUUGUCUGGGUACCUUUUCAGCCUACUGAUAUUUUUUGUAUAUAGUAUGGUUGCUGAUUGUAUUUUUUUAAUUUUCUCUGGGUCUAAAUAUAUGUGACUCGGGGUC